GAUGAACGCUGGCGGCGUGCCUAAUACACGCAAGUCGAGCGAACAGACGAGGAGCUUGCUCCUCUGAUGUUAGCGGCGGACGGGUGAGUAACACGUGGAUAACCUACCUAUAAGACUGGGAUAACUUCGGGAAACCGGAGCUAAUACCGGAUAACAUGUUGAACCGCAUGGUUCAACAGUGAAAGACGGUUUUGCUGUCACUUAUAGAUGGAUCCGCGCCGCAUUAGCUAGUUGGUAAGGUAACGGCUUACCAAGGCAACGAUGCGUAGCCGACCUGAGAGGGUGAUCGGCCACACUGGAACUGAGACACGGUCCAGACUCCUACGGGAGGCAGCAGUAGGGAAUCUUCCGCAAAGGGCGAAAGCCUGACGGAGCAACGCCGCGUGAGUGAAGAAGGUCUUCGGAUCGUAAAACUCUGUUAUUAGGGAAGAACAAAUGUGUAAGUAACUAUGCACGUCUUGACGGUACCUAAUCAGAAAGCCACGGCUAACUACGUG
rnacentral:rRNA from 1 species